UACAGAGGUCCCAAGCGUUGUUCGGAUUCACUGGGCGUAAAGGGUGCGUAGGCGGCCGGGUAAGUCCGACGUGAAAUCCCAAGGCUUAACCUUGGAACUGCGUCGGAUACUGGAUGGCUUGAAUUCGGGAGAGGGAUGCAGAAUUCCAGGUGUAGCGGUGAAAUGCGUAGAUAUCUGGAGGAACACCGGUGGCGAAGGCGGCAUCCUGGACCAAUAUUGACGCUGAGGAGCGAAAGCCAGGGGAGCAAACGGG
rnacentral:rRNA from 1 species